AGUGAACGCUGGCGGUAGGCCUAACACAUGCAAGUCGAACGGCAGCACAGUAAGAGCUUGCUCUUACGGGUGGCGAGUGGCGGACGGGUGAGGAAUACAUCGGAAUCUACUUUUUCGUGGGGGAUAACGUAGGGAAACUUACGCUAAUACCGCAUACGACCUACGGGUGAAAGCAGGGGAUCUUCGGACCUUGCGCGAUUGAAUGAGCCGAUGUCGGAUUAGCUAGUUGGCGGGGUAAAGGCCCACCAAGGCGACGAUCCGUAGCUGGUCUGAGAGGAUGAUCAGCCACACUGGAACUGAGACACGGUCCAGACUCCUACGGGAGGCAGCAGUGGGGAAUAUUGGACAAUGGGCGCAAGCCUGAUCCAGCCAUACCGCGUGGGUGAAGAAGGCCUUCGGGUUGUAAAGCCCUUUUGUUGGGAAAGAAAAGCAGCAGGUUAAUACCCCGCUGUUCUGACGGUACCCAAAGCAUAAGCACCGGCUAACUUCGUG
rnacentral:rRNA from 1 species